rnacentral:lncRNA from 1 species
CAAUAAUAAAAGAAGCGGUUUGUGUCCCUGAACCCUCCCAGGAACAUUGCAGCCUGAAUUAGGUGUUAUGCAUUGCAGCUCGGCCUUUCGGAGGUGCCUAUGGAAACAGAGCACACCGACUUGUCAGCCGCGGCUCAAUUCUUCAAUUAAAAUCCGCAACAAUAGUUUCUAGCCUCUGGCAAGGAAAACAGAUGAGCAAAUAUUCUCUGUCUUGGAAGUUAAAUGCAUCGCCCCAGCGACAGGCCUCUCUAGCUUUCCAGCUACCAUGAAUCCUGAGCCUACUCUUAAAUUGCCAUUUAGUUUUCUGAUGAAAGAAAGCAUCCUUGUAUCCAUUGGUGUGGUUCAGGGGCUGUGGGAAACCUCGGCUGGUCCGAGGGAUCGGAAUGUGAGCUUAACAUUGGCCUUGAGCAGACACCUGAGUAUCCUUGAAGAGGCCUGAGAGUCCUGAGAAGAAGGGAGUAAAUAAGAUUAAGGACCUGUCAGACUGCCAGCAGAGGAAAGUUACUGAAGUUACAGCAGAGAACAAAGAAGGAGGAAGUCAUCCAAUCAUGAACUGUUGGACUUUGAGGGAACCAAUUAGACAUGGACACACGUUUGUAAGAAAGAUAUAAAAGAGUCUGUUAAAACAAUAAAGUUGGGCUUCAGCACA